rnacentral:rRNA from 1 species
UACGUAGGGUGCGAGCGUUGCUCGGAAUCACUGGGCGUAAAGGGUGCGUAGGCGGGUUUUAAGUCAGAGGUGAAAUCCUGGAGCUCAACUCCAGAACUGCCUUUGAUACUGAAAGUCUUGAGUAUGGGAGAGGUGAGUGGAACUGCGAGUGUAGAGGUGAAAUUCGUAGAUAUUCGCAAGAACACCAGUGGCGAAGGCGGCUCACUGGCCCAUUACUGACGCUGAGGCACGAAAGCGUGGGGAGCAAACAGG